GCGCAGUAGUACACCGCGAGCAUUCCACGAGCUUGUACACGCGUGCUCGCGUUCCUACACGUCCCUUUCGACUCCGCGUCGCGUCAUUCUUUCGCGACACGUGAUGAUUCUUAUUCCGCACAUCGUCUUCACGUCGUAAAAAGAUUCGCCUUUCUUCCGCGCGAGCUUCAAUUUUCGCGUGACGUCAAGAUUUGUCGGUGGUGAGCAUUCAUGCCGAUUAGAAAACGACGUAUGGAGCGGCUCGUGCUUCGAGGCUGGUUUCUCGGAGAUUCCUGUACUCGACGACGCUGACGAGACUCGUUGGGCUGUGCAUAGAAGCUGCUUGCAUGUCGGCACGCAUCGCUGGAAACAACCGCGAAUGUUGUUGGCCGAGCUGUGGACAAGCUGUGGAGCGUUGAUCAUCGGCAGUUCCUUUGAACGGUGAAUGCCGCUUUAAUAACCAGUCAACCACGCGAAGUAUUUCAUUAGAGGCCGGAGAUCCUGGUGGCGUUGGAGGGACAGGGACGAAGAAGGAUGGGGCGUGUUGGCGUCGCGUGAUACGAAUCCACGAGUUUAGAGGAACCAGAAGCUUCCCUUUGACGCUGUUCUCUCGUCUGGCGAGAAAGGAAGUACGAUGUAGCACGAUUCCGCUACGACCAGGGGCUACGGAAAGUUUAAUAAGUGUCCGCUCGCUGUGACUACUACUUACACAUGUUCCGGUGUCAUCCCACCGCCAACGGAGAUUUCUAUCGAUGUAACUGAACUGUCUCCUUCAAGGAUAAAGGUUUCGCCUUGAUCCAGGGAUGCAUCAGUCAAGAAGCACCUCAUUCUCCGCCAGUUCGGUUAUCGAACGUUUGCCAGCGGCAGUAGAACGAGGGAGAUGUAGUCAGACAUCGACAUCGCUACAGUUUCAUCGACUUUGACGUAUUCCAAGUGUUUAGACUCGAUUCGAGUAGGUGUAGAUUCUAGAACGCUGAUAGAUGAAACACGAGAAUGACAAUAACGUCGAACAGAUAGAGGUAUAGCGACUAGAAUCUAGGUUGUUAAUAGAGUUGAAAUGGAUACGACUGAAGAGACUACAUAAUCGCAUAGACGUCUGAAGCCUGAAAACCCGUCCAGUUUUUCCACUAAAAUCAAGCAAGCGGAUUUCAAAUGUGGCUCAACGUCAAUCGUUGGUUCUCCAUCGACGUGACAGUGAUUUUUGGCAGAAUUUCCAACGGGUGGGUCGUGAUGCUCGACAGAUCGGUUUACCAAUCCAUUGCCUCCUCGAAACAGUCUCGUGCAUCCUGUUCUUUCCACUCUCCGCUGCCUCGAAGUGGAAUUUAUUUCCAAUCUGUAUUUCCAGCCUGUAGAAACGCGACCGGGGUAGCAGCUACGUAUGCACGGUCCGUAGGAACACGGAACUCGAUUCGACGAAAUAACACGUGGCUAGGGAUCAGCAGCCGGGGAUCAGCCUCACCUCUCACGAGAAUAGAUCUGCGAAACGUACUCUAAUUCUUCCUUCGGCCUGACGUUCCAUUCUUCGAAGAACGUCGAUAUUCUAACGACAGACAGAAAUGAUACUUCGACAAAAUAUAGUACUAUAAUACAGGCGUAAAGAGAAGUUAACACCAGACGGUACUCUCACAGUUGAAAGAACACAGUAACGACCUGAUUCGCACUGGUUUUCGACUAAUUCAGUGGCGUGUUUAAAAAGCUUACAGUGAGAAGACAGCACGCACCGUUCGCGUGAAGUCAGUUGCAGCGCAAAAAGGGGGUGGAGCUGUAGAGACUAUGAUACCAGUUUGAUAACGUGGGUCAGAGACUCGGUGCACGGUCGCGAGCAGCUACGUCCGUGUCUGGCCCGGCCAGCCGUGUUCAUCCCUCUGGUAAGCAAGUCAGGUUGGUUGGACGAGAGUUCGAGGAGACUCGAAACAAGGAACGAACGAUCGGCAGAGUGGGAGUGAGAGAGAAGAUAGAAGUCGCAGACGAGGAAAGCAGGGAAUACACCAGGUCAGAGAGAAUGCAGAGAUUAUAGAGAGUCUAUACGUGUGUGUCAGGGUAAAGAAGAAGAGGGUUAACCGUGGAAGUAAGAGACAAAGAAGGAGCAAAAGGGAUUCGUAGGUGGAAAAAGAGAAGAAGAGAACAACGGACUGCAACGUGAACGUAGAAGUUAAAGAAGAGGAGGGGGUGGCGGAGGAGGAGAAAGAGGUGAGAGGACAAGCAGGCAAGUUUCCGUCUGUCCAAAGUGGAUGGGGGUGAAAAUGUUCGGAGUGUUGCUGGCAUGUGUCUGGCUGGUUGCCGGCUCCCCGUUACAUCCCUGGCCGCUAAUACCGCACAAAGCGAUCAUUCCUGGGUCGUACAUCAGACACUAUAGCGCCGUUUGGUACGACACGGCUGCUCUAAGGGAACAUCGCAGCAGAAGUCGUCGUGACACUUCAGCUUCCGGGCAUCCGGGAGACGCGACGCUGAAUCUACGUCUUCACGCUCUCGACAGGGUCUUUAAGAUGAGGCUUACGAGGGAUACGAGCUUAUUCGAUGAAAACGUGGUCUUCGAGGGAUCGAAUGGUCGACAAAUUGCGUUCGAUCCAUUGCACGCCUACAGCGGAACCCUUGAGGACGAUGAGAACUCGUCGGUACAUGGGGUCGUAACAGAAGAGGGACUGUUCGAUGGAACUAUCUUUACAGCAACCGACGAAAUCUAUAUCGAACCAACCAGCAGAUACGCUCCCCUCGUAUGCCAUCGGCAAGAUGGCGAAGAUAAAGACACAACAGACGCUGUGCAUCACCAUACGAUCGCGUAUCGUUCCGUGGACGUGAACGUCCCACGUAGUAAUGGGUAUCCGUGUGCCAGUGAGCUUUUGCGAGAGAACACGUUAAAUGAAUUAAGGACGAACAGGACGUGGAGUGGAUAUCUCGGGGACACAAUGCGGCCGCUUUAUCAACACCUGAACGAGGGGAACUCCCGUGCCAAGCCGGGCUUCUAUCCGAAAGACGUUAGGAAGAAAGACCCCACGGCGAGCUCGCACAAUUUAGAGUUACUCGAUAGAUUGUACAGGGAACGAUAUUCUCGAGUGCUCCGCAAAAGGACGUCCGUGGAUCCGAAGAAAACCACUUGUAUGUUGUAUCUGCAAGCGGAUCACACGUUCUUCAAUCAUUAUAAAUCUGAAGAGGCCAGUAUCGAGGUGAUGACUCGGCAUGUACAGCGUGUCAACUCAAUUUAUAGAUAUACAGAUUUCAAUCAGGAUGGCCAGCCAGAUAAUAUUAGCUUCAUGAUAAAGCGCAUUAAAGUUCAUGGUGACGAUGCACUGAACGAUCCAAGCUACAGAUUCACUGGGACUUAUGGGGUUGAAGAAUUUCUUGAGCUGUUUUCCGAAGAGGACUAUGACGCGUUCUGUCUAUCGUACAUGUUCACAUACCGCGACUUCGAGAAGGGAACUUUGGGUUUGGCAUGGACUGGAGAUCUAAAAAACGCUGGCGGAGUUUGCGAGAAAAACGGGCACUACAGGGGUAGCAUGAAAUCGUUGAACACCGGUAUAAUCACCCUCCUGAACUACGGCAAACACGUACCACCGACGGUUUCUCACGUCACCCUCGCACACGAGAUCGGUCACAACUUCGGAUCUCCUCACGAUCCGGACGAGUGUUCGCCCGGAGGAGAAGACGGAAAUUUCAUAAUGUUUGCCAGAGCCACCAGCGGGGACAAACGAAAUAACAAUCGCUUCAGUCCAUGCAGCUUGGUCUCCAUAAAUCCCGUUUUAAAUGCCAAGGCCCGUUCGUCCAAAGGAUGCUUCGCCGAGCCCCAAAAUGCCAUCUGCGGGAACGGCGUUGUGGAGGAUGGCGAAGAGUGUGAUUGCGGGUGGGAGGAGGACUGCAACGACCCCUGUUGCCACCCUCAACGGCUUCAUCAUGCCCCUCACGAGGUACCUUGUCGUCUUGCCGAUGGUGCAGUGUGCAGUCCCAGUCAGGGCCCUUGUUGCACAUCCGGCUGUACUCUGCGCAACGGCGAUAAGUGCAGGGACGACAACGGUUGCAGGGACGCGAGCUUUUGCGACGGCCGUGGUCCCCAGUGCCCGCCAUCCAUCAACAAGCCCAACAAGACCAUAUGCAACGAGGAAUUCGUCUGCUACAUGGGGGAAUGCACCGGCAGCAUUUGCCUGGCUUACGGCUUGGAAUCCUGUCAGUGCAUCGCAGGGCCCGUGGAUCCGCCGACCAAAAGCUGCGAACUCUGUUGUAAAUUGCCAGGAGAGGAUCAACCGUGCCUAUCAUCGUUCGCAUGGAAUUCAGCGCCUUACGAUAUUCCUGAUAUGCUGUCGAAGCCAGGCACACCGUGCAACGAUUACAAUGGCUAUUGCGACGUCUUCCAAAGAUGUCGAGAGGUGGAUCCGAGCGGACCACUGGCAACUCUACGAAGACUUUUGUCGGACGCUACUCUAGCGAGUUUUCAACGCUGGAUGAUCAAUCGCUGGUAUAUUGUUGCAGUAACCGUUGUUGUCUCGCUGUUAAUCGUGGCGCUCGUAACGUAUUCCCUGAGCAAACGACGCAACAGCCGCGUGAAAAUUCUGGCAAGCACAAGGGAUCAGCUACACGCGAUUUCCGAAGGGACGAACGCGAACGACGAGCCGACAAGGGAGCGUUCGUCCGUGCGGAAGGUACAAUCUAUGGACAUUUCGUGGCUGAAAAGGAGGAUCGUCGAAACGAUGAAGAGCAUCGCGUCCCCGAGAAGGAAGAAGGACGCGUCCUCAGAGGCGAGCACGUUCCUCGCGCGCAUUUCUCGACUGUUGGCCAGAAAUUCGGCCGUUCGUAACUCCGAGGAGAAAUCUUCGAACGAAGUGGAACAGCUGUGUAGAAACAACGUGGAUAAAACGAAGGAGGAAAGCAAGAAGAACGGAAGCAAACAGAAAGAUGAGAAUGAAAGACUCAUGGUGGUAGUUUCGCCAGAGAAGGAGACCGACGUCUGGAGACGAGUCUGUCUGUUGUUCGUCGGAAGUCGCCGUAAUCGUGCAAGUUCCUCUCCAACACGAAGAAAAUCGAACAGUGGUGAAUCGACGCGUGCACAACCUUGGAGAAAGGCGGUUCAAGUUGAGAAACUGUGCACCGGUUCCAAGGUGAUCGUGAGUUCUUGUAGAAGAGGAGACAGGUGUCAAACGGAGCCUCUAGUGGCUCCUGACACUCCGGACACUCCUGGCGAGACUUCAGAAACGAGAAGUCAGACGUCGGAUUUGACUGUGUUGCUCUCUGAUAGUUAGUUUCGAAGGAGGAAGUAUCGUGAACUAUUACCUGAGAAUCUGAGUGUUUAUUUUCGCCUGGAACGCCCAUUCGCGAGUAUUAUCGUCUGUGGUAAACAUUUAUUUCGAUUUUACAGUUGAUUCUGCUAUUCCAACAAUCCUCGUGUUUUAAGUUUCCACUUUGUUUUCUCUGACGCGCUGAAACAGCUAGCUGUGUAGUUCCCGAAAUUACGAACUGAAGGGUUGAGAACUGUAAGAAGAUACUUCUACAAUAAUUCUACAAGAAAUCAAAAAUGUUGAUGAGAAAUAGAUUUGAGAAACGACGUAUCAUUUUAAGUGUAAAUAUUGUACAGAAUCUUAUACCGCUAUCGUCGUAGACUACUUUUUAGAGUAAGGCCAGCAAGGUUUGCGGAAUCGAAUGGAUUGUUGUAAUUCAUUUUAGUCAAAGAGCACUUCACCUAGAAGCGGACCAAACGUAGAUGGAAGAUCGUCCAGCGCUGAACUUCGUAGACUCGUGUAUAUAAAAAACAGAACGAUUGUUACUGUAUAAUAAAUCGUGCGUCACCGUUCAUUAUUAACUCGCAAUUAACUCAUCUGUGUUGCCAUCAUUCGUCGAUUAUAGAUAUUUCGUUAGCUUACGGCAUCCCUCGUUUCUUUCUCGAAACUCAAUUUAUCAUUCAAAAGCCAAGUUGAUCAGCUCUACUUCUUGUACAUUUUUUAAUUUAUUUAUCCAAUUACGCGAUUAACGUUCAAUUUUCCAACGACAAGCAAUGCACUUCCAUAAAUUCCAUUAUUGCAAUGAAAUUGCAUACAUAAUUACAAAUUUCAAUGCAAAUUUUGAAAGUACUGCGUUUCGAGUCUCAUUACGCAAAUUCAUUUCUUUAUGAAUACGAUUAAAGAAGUGAAACGAAAUUAAAGAUUCGUUUUAUCCACUAAAUAUUACAAUGAAUAUUAUAUUUUGAAUAUUUUACAUACAUGUAUUUAUGGUUCACUCGUUACUUUUCCCGACUUCUCAACUUACGAAGGUGGUUACUAUGGCUUCUGAGUGACACGUGUGUCAGACAUCCUCGACCUAUACUACUUGAAUCUAUUUCUGUUGAGUAACACAUCGAACGUACACUAAAUCUAACUGACGUUAAUUAAAAUAAUAAUACAAAAGUUGAUUAUAAUUCUUACUGUACCUCCGCUUGAAAGAAAUGUAACAUACCUAAAUAUGUAAUAAAAAAGGAGAGUGAACGUUUGGAAAAAACUUUCGUGUGAAUUAGUUUAAAUAAAAAUACGUUCGACUUUGCCAACAAACUGUAAACAUGAAUUCAAACGUUAUCGACGUGUGACUGUUCUAUUAAGCUUCCCAUCUGCUGGUAACUUUUUAAAGUAUCAACAUUUUUGCAAGAAAUUCCUUGCCUAGCGAUUAAAUACUCAAAAUGAAAUAUGAAAAAGUGACAGUGAGUUAGAAGAAAAGCCUGAGAAUAAUUUAGACAAUUUAUUAACAUUCUAAACGCGAUUAUAUGUCAAAGUACAAUGUUUAUAAAAUAUCAAAAUCAAAAUUGUAGUCGGUAUUACUGUAAAAAUCGUCUAUGUAAAGCUUGAAAUAUGAUAAUUUUAUAUGUAAAACUAUAUCUGUGAAAGCAAAAUGGAAUAAUAGCAAAGUUAUCGACUGAAAUUUACCGAGCGUAGUUUCGUUUCCAUAUGGAAGAAGCCGACCUAACCACGGCGGGUAUAACACAAAAUGAAAAUUGAAACGAAGCGUGCCACGUAUUAAAGUGGCUUAGCAAUUUAGAAACGACAAAUAUGAAUCUUCUUUUAAUAAUUUACAACUCUUACAUCACCUUUAUCCAUCUCCCAACAUUUUCCAUUUUUCAAACAGGUUGAAGACGAGAUUCCAAACAACCAUUCGAAUAUCAUUUUUUUAUUAACGUUUUAUCAGUUACAAUUUUGAUUACAUACAUAUAAUGUAGAUUUUUCUUUAAACACAUGUCGCUAUAAUACAAAUGACGAGGAUAAAAAUUUGGAGUGCGUAAAAAUGUAAUUAGAUGACGAUUUUUUUUCUUUUUUGUUUCUUUCUUUCAUUCUUGUUUUCUCCCUUAUUAUCCCAUUGGUCAUGGCGAUGGGCCAACUUUGAAUGUAUAUUAAUAUAAUAUACCGAGCUGGCCCAUGUCCACUAAGGGUUAAAGUUUAAUUAUUUCUUACGGUCAUAUCUUUUUUUUUUUAAAUCAUCCCUAAUUCGCUACUUCGUUUCACUUUUUUUUUCUCUCCUUUAUACAGUAUAAUCAGUGCACAUCCGUCGCGCAAGACUGGUCCAGUAAUUAGCGAUUGACCGAUGCGCUGAUCAAGUGAAAAUCUCGAAUAUUGUUUACACCGACCACACAGGCACGGAUUAGCGCCAAAUUCAGAGGACAGGAUAUUUACAGAUGAACAAACGGCUUGCCCAGGCGUUCGUCCACUCGCUUUGUGGACCUUCUACUUUAUAUACACGUUCGGUGCACCUUCUUUCUCGUCUCUUUUAACAUUCUUUCACCAUUCCUCGCAUCGUUCACCCCUCGAGCCUCGAUCAAUAAAUACCUAUCGAUAUAUCGAUUCUCCGGAGAAAUAAAAAUUUGCAAAAAUAAAACAGACUUAAAGCAACGAAUUAUCCUACUUGCAUCCCUAACUGCAAACGUUGCUUUGUGAAACAAGAUACGGAGCAAGACACGAGGAGUUCGAGUACCAUUCGAAUUGCCACUAGUGGCGAGAAUUAAAUACGAAACUCGGGCGUCGUGUCGGUUCAAACAUUCGAGGAACUAAAUGAGAAGAAGAACGCGUCGAGGUUCGUGAAUUUAAAAAGCAAAAAGAACGGAGAAGCUCGACUUGUUUUGCGACGGUGUUGGAAGGGAAACAAGAGGCUGGUCCUCUGAACUUGGAACAAAGAUAAGACUCGAUUUGUAUACGAGAACGAGUGGUAUCUUUCUCUUCGUGUAUUUUCGUAUUUAUAUAUACUGAACUGAUUGUUUUUAAAUAAUUAUGUACUUGUCACGUAUCUGCCCAACUACGGAAGUAAAGAAUAAUUGCAAAAGAGUGCGAAGCGAGUUUACUUGCAUUGACAUUUAAAUAAUUGUCUAUAUCUUAUCUCUUGAUUCAAUGCAAAGAAAAUUGCACAGUAUAAUAACACUCUAUUAAAAACAACUCAGUGAUAUGAAAACACUUCUUCUGGUAAAACACAGUAAAUAUAACGAACUGUAAAAGUUUAUAAAAAUUUAUAAAACACUGAUCGUUUAGUGUCGAAACAGUCGAUGACUAAAGUAUAAAAAGCUGUACGAGCAAACCGAAAGUUUAAGACGUAGAAUCGAAUUUUUAAAAGAUUUAAAUACAACAAAAUUGAUGGUAUCGUCUAUUUUUUCGCGAGUCUAUAGAAAUGUUGACGAAAAAUUGCGAAUUUCUCCAUAAUCGAGCAGAUCUGCAAAGUGGAAAUAGGAUUUACAGAAGCAGACACUAAUCGGCCAAGAGCGUGUUCAAUCUCGUCGAUUACCUCUCCGUUUCCCAGCUCGAAUUUCAGAAGAUUCGCGGAAGGAAGAAGGGUAUUACCGUCUGCAAUUCGGCUGCUCAGUCCAAAGGCCGCAAAUAACGCUUUCGAGUAAUUUUUGUUCCUAUCCCUGAGCCAAAAUCUACUUGGGACCUUUCUGACUCAGGACCGAUGUCUUGCUUUCAUUAUCUUCCGUGUAGGUGUUACAGUUGCCGUGGACGGAAAGGAACGAUCCUUUUUUCUGUCGAGAAAUCGUCUUCUCUUUCGGGUAAUUAACAACACGAAUGAUAAUAGUCGACGUCGUGAGUCCUGGUUCUCACGAACUCUUUACAGGCUAAGGAAUCUUCCGCGAAUCUGAAGACACGACGAAGUGUUGCGUUUCAAUGACAGGAUGUGAUUUCAACUGGAGAAACGAGAGAAUAGAUUGAAACAUCUAUUUGGGUGUUUCAUUCGUAGGAGCUCUGUCGAUAAGCGUCUUCGUAAGAGAUAAAUUAUAACGAAAGAACGUAAUUAAAACUACGAAAGGAUACAUAGUAGAAACAUUUUCUCUUUCUUUUUUUUUUUUGGUAAUAGAAACGAAACAAAGAAAAUUAGUUCUGAAAAAUUGUACGUUGAGAAAGGCAGAAGAAUCAAUCAACGAGAAACAUCCUAUUGUUGACGAAUUAGUGGGAGAUCCGCUUUCAAAGAAUUUUAUUUUCGUCGGAUCCUUAGAAGCUAAUAAUCGACGGUAAUCGUCUCAUCGUGUCCUGUCCCUUCUUUUUACGCAACGUUUGAAACUGAUUUGCAUGAUUUCGAUACUCGGUCAAAUGAACUAGGUUGCCAGGAGAUGGCAAAGAUCUUGGUUGGAUCCCUGACUCGCGACGAAUAUUAUUUUACAAAAGGAAAGGAAGGUACAACGGACUAAAAACGCAAUCGUCUCGAUCCUCGCCACGUCCUGGCUUUACGUUUGUACAUUCUAAACGAAGCAUCGCCAAGAUUCGCAAAACGCGAGCAACAAAUUGGCGAGAAGCUAAAGUACGACAACGGACGAUUCAAUGAAACAGUACACACGUACGUAAAAUCCGAAUUCGUUUACUAGCAGAAAAAUUUACAAAGUUAAAGAAUGUACAAGGGUUCGCGUGUAAUGGUCGCGGUAUGAAAGCGAGAGAAACUCGACAGAAGAAAAUGGUUUUCGUUGGAAAAUUGGUCGAUGCUCUUCUCGUUGGCAAAGCAUUCGGUCCUCGCCAGUGCGAGAACGCUUUCUCGCUUGGACCUUUUGAUUUUUUCUAUUUCUCUCUCCCUUUCUUUUGUUUUUUUUUUUUUCUAUUUUCUUUAUUCAUACAAUCCGACAGAGUGCGACGACGAGGCUAAAUAUCUGAUCGGACUGCGUUCACAACCUCGGGCUAUUACUCUCCGGCUCAGUGUGUGCUUUGCAAACAAUUAAAAUUUGUUUCUUUAUUAUUUUUAUUACGUUAUAUCUUUCGGUUCUUGUCUGUGUUUUCGAUCUUUUCGAUUUCUGUUUCUGCCGCUUUUUUUUAUUUUUAUUUUAAAUUCAAUUCACGUUAUUAGGGUAUAAUAAUUAAUUAAUUGAUUAAUUAAUUAAUUAUAAUAGUGUCAUUAUAAUUCGUAAUAAUAUACAACAUUUUUCAAUAGAUCAUUUAUCCUAAAACCCACCGCAUGCUCGUGUCGAAAUAAUCGGUUGCAUUUAAUCCUGCUCUCUCUCCCUUUCUCUCUCUCUCUCUGUCAAAUCUAUUCUUUCACACUUAACGCACGCAAAUUUCAUUCUUCCUAUCAAUCUUCCAAGCAAUCACAUUCACUCUUCGAUUCACAUACACCAGUUUUCCCUCCUAAUAAUUUCACUUGCCUGUAUUAGAGAAGGCGUUGGAUCAGGCAUACUGAACUCUCUGAUUAAGAAACGCACACCGUUUUCGUUCUCCUCCGAUCGUUUCCUAUCUUUCCGUCUUUUUCUGUUUCUUCGCACACUUUCACGCCGUGGGACAGUACUGGCUUCACGCGUAACUUACCUAUCUAAUUCAAUGAUUCGUAGUCGUAAGUGUGUGAUCUCUGAACGUGUGUGUACGUGUGUAUGGUAUGCGCGUGCCUAGCUGUUUCGUUUCUCGCUCGCUCCACUCUCGCUUCUCUUCUCAACCGGCUAUUUUAUUCUCUACCUCAAAGCCUUGUUUCAUUCGAACGUUCUCUAGCGUAUCGCACAGCCGAAUGACCAAAAGAGCAAAAUAUCUAUAUUCGCGGGACAACCGCGACGUGAACGGCUCGUUCUGGCAGAGGUGAAAGUUUCGCGAGAUAUGGCCGCCGCGCCGUUUUCUCCUCCAUUCCAAACAAACGGAACAGAAUAGGAGAACGACCGCAUGGGCGCAACGUGUUCUGUGUCGUUCUCCGGUGUAUAGUGUGACCAUGUAUAUCGUGCAUGACGCGUGUUUACGAUGACUUUGUACAUAUUUCGGAAAAGUUUCGCUAACGUCCGCCAUCGGACCGCCGUUGCGGCAACCGGCGAAGCGUGUAUCUCAAGUGCAACCACCCGAAAGCGCAGAGUUCAUGGACGUGAUGAAACGCCGACGUUCGUGCCCUCUCCCCAAUCCCUAUUGCUUUCGUCGAUCUUUCCUUUUUUUUUUUUUUUUUU